rnacentral:rRNA from 1 species
GACAGAGGGUGCAAACGUUGCUCGGAAUUACUGGGCGUAAAGCGCGCGUAGGCGGAACGUUAAGUCCGGUCUGAAAGCCCCCGGCUCAACCGGGGAGGGUGGCUGGAAACUGGCGUUCUUGAGGGCGAGAGAGGAGGGUGGAAUUCCUGGUGUAGCGGUGAAAUGCGUAGAGAUCAGGAGGAACACCCGGGGCGAAGGCGGCCCUCUGGCUCGACCCUGACGCUGAGGCGCGAAAGCGUGGGGAGCGAACGGG